rnacentral:sRNA from 1 species
GCCGUGAGGUGUUGGGUUAAGUCCCGCAACGAGCGCAACCCUCACUCUAUGUUUGCCAUCGGGUAAUGCCGGGCACUCUUAGGGAACUGCCAGCGAAAGCUUGGAGGAAGGUGGGGACGACGUCAAGUCAUCAUGGUCCUUACGUCUAGGGCUACACACGUGCUACAAUGGCAGGUACAGAGGGCUGCGAAAGGGCAACCUGGAGCCAAUCCCUAAAGCCUGCCUCAGUUCGGAUUGUCGUCUGCAACUCGACGGCAUGAAGCUGGAAUCGCUAGUAAUCGUGGAUCAGCGACGCCACGGUGAAUACGUUCCCGGGCCUUGUACACACCGCCCGUCACGCCAUGGAAGCUGUGAGCGCCCGAAGUCGGUGUCGGAACCCGCAAGGGACCAAGCCGCCUAAGGCGAGCGCAGUGACUGGGGCGAAGUCGUAACAAGGUAGCCGUAGGGGAACCUGCGGCUGGAUCACCUCCUUUCCGGAGCAAUGAGUAGGGCGCCAGUAUCGCAAGAUGCUGUGGCGGUCUGAAAGUCCCGGAUUUUGUCGCUCGCUCCGUGCGUUUCAAAUCUCGAUCUCGAUUGCCAAUAGCGUGCGCGCAAGCGCAGACGCUGUUUGACAACGGAAAAUGGAAGUGAUCGUGGGUACUUCAGUCAGUGUAUUGCCUGCAAGGGCGAUGGCAUUGGCUGCAAGGACGAAGAACCUCAGUGAGGCGAAGUGCUAUCACCGCUGGCAGCGCGCGACCAAGCGAAAGCUUUGGGCGAACGUUGUGGCGGUGCAAACGCUUGCGCAGCACAUGAAGUAUCUAUAGAAGUAGCGCGUGCUUUGCUUGAAAGCUGGGAAAGAGUCAAGCGAAUGAAGGUAUGUGGGGGAUGCCUGGGCACAUAGAGGCGAUGAAGGCCGCGGUAAGCUGCGAUAAGCUCGGGGGAGCGGCACACACGCAUUGAUCCCGAGAUGG